UCUUUCUUUUCUUCUUUUCUUCUCCUUCUUUCUUCCUCCCUUCCCGAUCUCCUCCUCUUCUCCUCUUCUCCCAUGAAACUAGGAAGCGAGCUCGGAAGGGGCGCUCGGGAGGGAGACGGUCCGAGGUCGUGGGUGCCAGCGGCCGGCCAACAUCACUCGCGGCUCAGUCUGGAGCAGUCGAUUCCCCCUUUCUUCUUCAUCCUUCUUCACUUCAGAAGGGAGGAGGGCGGCUCCCCCUCACGGAAGAGGUCUGUCGCGACCAGCGGCGCCCACGGCCGAACCCGUGGCCGCGCCCGCAGCGGCCGGCCCCCUCUCUGUUCUUUGGGGGUCGGAACCAACCCCCUUGAGAAGAAGGGGCCUCUGGCCCACCACAGCUCUGGCCGAAGGCCAGCGGAGCCUGCAGUCGGAGCCGGCGGCUCCUUCGUUCUCACUACAGUGGGGGAGAAACCCACCACUGUGGCUAUGGCUGCGAUCGAACUCACCGCAGCCAAAGAAGAGUUGUAGACGAUCUCCCCACGAUCGGAAGAGGGGAGUAAGAGCCUCCGGCCGUCGACGGCUGCAGCCGAGCUCAUCGUGCCGGAUUCGCGACCGAGGACAUCCGGAAACAUUACAAUGUCAACUUGACAGGAAUUGAGGUUGGUGGGACUUUUCUAAGGCUUCCUACUUAUUUAUUUGACGAUGGAGCAAAUAAAGGUGCCAUUAUUGACUGUGGUACAACCUUGGCUUAUCUUCCAGAUGCAGUUUUCAAGCAGUUACUCAAUGCGAUAUUCAAAUUCCAUCAAGGUUUGACUAUUCAUAACAAUGGGGUCUUUGUAUGUUUCAGAUAUUCUGGAAGGUAUGCUUUUAUGACUAGCACCUUUUGAUCCUUGUUAUCUAGAAGUUCUUUUCCUUAAUUUUUUCAAGGAAGUUAGCUGAAUUGAAUGAUCAAGAUAUAUGCCUUUUGGGUCGAAAUGGCUAUAUGUUGUUUUUAUGUUAUUCUUUCUAAUAAGUAAAGCUCAUGUAUUCCUCCCAUUUUUAUCAAAAUGUUAUAAAACAAUCAUCUGUGCAUUUUUUGGUUAUAAUGGUAGAAUCUCGUUCAAUUCAAAGUUUUAAUACUGAAAAUAUGUGUACUUACCUUGCUGGCUUCCCAAUGAAAUAAUGUGCUCAAAAGCAACAUGAAAAGUUUCACUUGUUUGCACAUUACAAUGAUAGGAUUAAAAAAAUAAAUCAUUGUAGAUAGAAAGGUGCUUAAAAGCCUUCCUCUUCCCUAAUCGGUGGCUUCCCACUAUUUCCAAAAUUUCAGAAACUAAAUAUUACCUUAAACCUUUAAGAUUUAGCCCUCUAACAUCAAAAAUCUAACGUAAAGAAAAGAUUGGAUCUCACCUUGAUGAUGGCUUCAACAACUUAGCUUUUUCCUCGUCUACUUCUUCUCCAAAGCACCCACCAGCGAUGACGAGGCGGCAACUGACGAGGCUCGUUGAGAGGAGGAGAAGAGGGAGACAGCGGAAGGAGGAGGCGGAAAAUGAGAAAAGAGAGAA